rnacentral:snRNA from 12 species
AUACUUGCCUGACAAGGGAGACAGCAUGAUCAGGAAGGUGGUUUUCUCAUGGUGUUUCAUCUGUUGCAGUGUGGGUGUGCUUGACCCUUGAGGUUUACCCAGAAGUAGGAAACACGACUGCAUAAUUUUGGGGUAGGGAGUGCAUUCACGCUCCCCUGG